rnacentral:rRNA from 1 species
UACGUAGGUGGCUAGCGUUGUCCGGAUUUACUGGGCGUAAAGAGCGCGCAGGCGGUCGUUCAAGUCGAGUGUGAAAGCCCCCGGCUCAACUGGGGAGGGUCACUCGAUACUGAUCGACUCGAAGGCAGAAGAGGGAAGCGGAAUUCCCGGUGUAGUGGUGAAAUGCGUAGAUAUCGGGAGGAACACCUGUGGCGAAGGCGGCCCCCUGGUUGGAUACUGACGCUGAUACGCGAAAGCGUGGGGAGCAAACAGG